rnacentral:sRNA from 1 species
GAGGAUCCUCCGCGUUGAUCACCAUGUUCUUUGUCUUGAUGUCUCCGCCGCAUAACAUAGCGUCCACUCCUCCUCCGUUGCUCUUGUGUGCCCCGUUAAUCUCCAUUUAGACUUUUGAU